rnacentral:rRNA from 1 species
GCAGAUGAAUUACGGUGAAAGCCGUAAGCCGCAAGGCAUCUGUGAAGGUGCUGCAUGGUUGUCGUCAGCUCGUGCCGUGAGGUGUCGGCUUAAGUGCCAUAACGAGCGCAACCCUUGUUGUCAGUUACUAACAGGUUCCGCUGAGGACUCUGACAAGACUGCCAUCGUAAGAUGUGAGGAAGGUGGGGAUGACGUCAAAUCAGCACGGCCCUUACGUCCGGGGCUACACACGUGUUACAAUGGGGGGUACAGAGGGCCGCUACCACGCGAGUGGAUGCCAAUCCCCAAAACCUCUCUCAGUUCGGACUGGAGUCUGCAACCCGACUCCACGAAGCUGGAUUCGCUAGUAAUCGCGCAUCAGCCACGGCGCGGUGAAUACGUUCCCGGGCCUUGUACACACCGCCCGUCAAGCCAUGGGAGCCGGGGGUACCUGAAGUGCGUAACCGCGAGGAGCGCCCUAGGGUAAAACUGGUGACUGGGGCUAAGUCGUAACAAGGUAGCCGUACCGGAAGGUGCG